AUGAGGAACUGGAGGAUUAUCGUAGCAGUUUGUUUGCUGCUUCCUGUUCUAGCCGCUGGCUACCAUAGGUUUUCGACUGUAGAAGAGGCCAACGCAGCGCUGCGGCGCGACCAUAUCGCCACCGGCAUCGGCCAUACGCUGGAGCAAAUGCAGCGGGGCCAGGGGAAUCUUGGAUUUAGCUCAUACUUUGGUUUUGUUUUUGCUUUCUACUCCAUGUCGGUCCUGGUCGUGGCUGGAGUGUGGGAUCACUUAACAGCAUUGUUUGGAGCAGUUGACGGCGAAUAUAUACUUGCAUUUACCACGAUGCUUGUUAUCUCCGGUUUUAUCGUGGCGACCAGCAUCCGCUUCAUGUUACAUAGUCUAGCACCAUGA
rnacentral:rRNA from 1 species